GAAAGACCAUCUUUUUAACGCUUUUAACUGUGCGUUUGAACAAUACCAUCGACUGGGCCGCCCGCCCGGAGGUUGCAUGUCUAGAUGGCUUUUCUAACGGGACACCGCCCCGUAGCGCCGUGCGGAAAGGUUUGCACAAGACAAACAAGGAAUUGCAUCCUUCUGACUCCAUCUUUUAAUACCUAUCUUUUAAUUUUUACCAUCUUCUCAGAGAGUGAUGGAGUGUAUGACAGACACAGUUGAGAAAGAUCAUGUAAACGAUGAAUUGAUGUGAAAACAAACUGGAAACAUUAAUAUGGAACAAGACUAAAGCUUUUCUUACAAGUUCCACAGCAGACUCAUUUAAACACAACGGUCUCUUCUUUUUGUGUCUUUCCAAUGUGUGUUUAUUAAAUUACAAAGGUUAUUAUAUCAUUGUUAUUAGAAUUAUUAUUGAAUUCUCAUGUACAGAUUUAUUUUGUCCAGAAGUCACUGGAUUUGGGACACAGAUACCCCAGUCACUUCACAUACAUACAUACAGAAUAAACAUAAAUCAUGUUGACAAGGAGGAUGAAGAUAAAUCCUUGUUCUUUUGUUAAUCACUUAUAGCAACAGCUGUUAUCUAGCUCCAAGAUAAAUUUCUAUCACGUUUCACCAGAUAUUGUCUCAGAUGUUUAAGUGCCCCUCAUCAUCCUAACUGAAGAGGCUUGACUGCAGGAGAACUCUCCUGCAGCACUGGCGGAGAAAUCCAAAAUUUCAGAAAUGUUUUCAUUUUUUUCACUUUUCUCAUGUCUGAGAAAAUCCAGACGUAAUUCACACAUUUAUACUUAACCAUGAAUAGAGAUAGAAACAAAUCCCAACAGGCAACGAUGUAAAAUGGUAUGAAUGGUAACAACAAACCCUUGUUUCUGUCUCCCUGUGGACCAGGCUGAGUUCAUGCACUACACAAGCCACCGCUUGUAGUGCAAGGUUCAUUCAACAGCAGGAACAAAGUCCCUUCUUUGUGGACCCAGCGUAGAUGUGUAGCUUAAGUAGAGGAUGAAAAAGCUGUAGAACACAUAGUUAAGCAGUGAAGGGAUGUGAGCGGAGCAGCAGAUACUGGACGUCUAUCUUCAGCUAAAAACUGGUCUUGUUCCAACAUCACAAGUGUCGGCGAUACCAACAUCUCUUUGGGUCUUGGCCUGAUCUAAAAAGCGCCACGUUCUUACAGGCACUCUGGAAAAUAAGAUAACUUUUACUAUUGAAUGUUUCAUAAAAUAAAAGUAACCAAUGAUACAGUUGAUUUUUCCCCCCCUGGUUCCAGUAAUAAAACACGAAAUGAUCCAAAUUAAUAAUUUUCAGAUGUAUCGAAAACAACAAUGUAACGCUGCUCUACUACAGUAAGUUAUUAGCACAUAAGACACAGAACAGAAUGUGAAAACUACAGCAAACACUGAUUUCCGGAUAGCAGUUUAAAAUAAUCAACAUGUGACCUGAAGUGAUUUCACAAAUCAAUAAGUGGCCAAGUGUAAAUGCUGAUUUUUAGUUUUUGUUCUUCAGUAUGGCUCAGUAACUAGCUACACAGGAGCAUACGGCUGUUUUAGCUCAUCAAACAUAAUUACUUCCCAUCACUGCUGAAUAUUAACAGUGGUUGUGGGGAAAAUACAAAAUUUAAGCCAUUUUAUCUAAAUUCUUGUAGGAAUGAACAGUAAAAACUGAGGAAGUUGUAGAAGGAGCCAUGGACAAACGAUGGUGAGGGUGAUCAGUUAAAACUUGAAACAGUGUGGUCAUGUGAGCAGCAAGACUCUCAGCACUGACAGAAUGAGGCAUGAAGUACAGAAAAUAAAAA